UGAUACACCGUUUUCAUUGGCGCACCGUUCAUGUGGUCGGAGACGACCACGUGACACAUGGUUUUGAUUGUGUUUAUAUAUUUUUCUUUUUAUGUAAGACUCGUUUUUACAAUUAAAAAUGAAUUUAAUGAGUAUCUUAUAAUAGAUUGCCUUCUACUGCUAUUUGUUUUUUGAUUUAUGAUUAACAGAUGUUCCCCAUUGUCACUUAAUUACAAGGGCAUAAAUAGUAUACUAGUUGGACACUGAACAUAUGCUCCUGAGGAAGCUGGCACCCAUUAGACCAGCGAAACCGUUGGACCUUUCUUGCAGAACCACAAGUACCAGAACCCUAAUCCACACCCUGGCGAUAUCUGGACCUGACAGCCUCCACUGGAUCAAAUUCCGACACAAGUUCUUCACAGACUCGGACUUGCCCCCAUCUGCCAUCUGGUCUCCAUUUGCACAGGAGACCUAGGGGACACCAUCCGGAAAUACGUCUGAUUCAAAAUGACAGUUAUUUACACAGCAUGGAUUGAGCGCUUUGACGAUUUUCCCACAAUGCCAGGAAUGUGGCUAUGAACUACAGCUUCCACUGUAUCUUAAUCAUGCAUGCCUGACACCCAGAAGAACACAAACUGAUGGCACAGAUCUUUUGGCUGCUAAUUUGAGGUAAAUGUCCCAUGGCGAAUCAGAUGACAUCAGCGUGGAGCUGGGAGAGGGUGCCGCAUGCUCACAUGGAUGAUAUGUAUUUAUAUAAGCGCCUUAUCUUGGAUACUUCACUCAUCCAUGUGUUGAGGUUGAUGACACUCUGAGUACAGGAUGACAACCUCUCUGAGUACAGGAUGACACCCUCUCUGAGUACAGGAUGACACCCCCUCUGAGUACAGGAUGACAUCCUCUCUGAGUACAGGAUGACACUCUGUGAGUACAGUAUGACACUCUCUGAGUACAGGAUGACACCCUCUCUGAGUACAGGAUGACACCCUCUCUGAGUACAGGAUGACACCCUCUCUGAGUACAGGAUGA